rnacentral:rRNA from 1 species
UACGAAGGGGGCUAGCGUUGCUCGGAAUCACUGGGCGUAAAGCGCACGUAGGCGGCUUGUUAAGUCAGGGGUGAAAUCCUGGAGCUCAACUCCAGAACUGCCUUUGAUACUGGCAAGCUUGGAGUCCGGGAGAGGUGAGUGGAACUGCGAGUGUAGAGGUGAAAUUCGUAGAUAUUCGCAAGAACACCAGUGGCGAAGGCGGCUCACUGGACUGGUAUUGACGCUGAGGUGCGAAAGCGUGGGGAGCAAACAGG